rnacentral:rRNA from 1 species
UACGUAGGCAGCAAGCGUUGUUCGGAGUUACUGGGCGUAAAGGGUGCGUAGUCGGUUGUUUAAGUUUGGUGUGAAAUCUCCCGGCUCAACUGGGAGGGUGCGCCGAAUACUGAAUGACUAGAGUGCGGGAGAGGAGAGUGGAAUUCCUGGUGUAGCGGUGAAAUGCGUAGAUAUCAGGAGGAACACCGGUGGUGUAGACGGCUCUCUGGACCGUAACUGACGCUGAGGCACGAAAGCGUGGGUAGCAAACAGG